GAGUGAGGGAGGGAAGGGGUGACUAGUGACAGAGUGAGGGAUGUGGUGAUUAGUGACAGAGGGAGGGAUGGGGUGACUAGUGACAGUCACCACCUCCUUCACUCUGUCACUAGUCACCCCCUUCCUCACUCUGUCAC